AUUGAACGCUGGCGGCAAGCUUAACACACGCAAGUCGAGCGGAGUGAUGGUGCUUGCACUAUCACUUAGCGGCGGACGGGUGGGUAAUGCUUAGGAAUCUGCCUAUUAGUGGGGGACAACAUCUCGAAAGGGAUGCUAAUACCGCAUACGUCAUACGGGAGAAAGCAGGGGAUCACUUGUGACCUUGCGCUAAUAGAUGAGACUAAGUCGGAGUAGCUAGUUGGUGGGGUAAAGGCCUACCAAGGCGACGAUCUGUAGCGGGUCUGAGAGGAUGAUCCGCCACACUGGGACUGAGACACGGCCCAGACUCCUACGGGAGGCAGCAGUGGGGAAUAUUGGACAAUGGGGGGAACCCUGAUCCAGCCAUGCCGCGUGUGUGAAGAAGGCCUUAUGGUUGUAAAGCACUUUAAGCGAGGAGGAGGCUCUUUUGGUUAAUACCCAAGAUGAGUGGACGUUACUCGCAGAAUAAGCACCGGCUAACUCUGUGCCAGCCGCCGCAGUAAUAC
rnacentral:rRNA from 1 species